rnacentral:rRNA from 1 species
UACGGAGGGUCCGAGCGUUAUCCGGAUUUAUUGGGUUUAAAGGGUGCUUAGGCGGGAAUUUAAGUCAGCUGUGAAAGUUUGAGGCUCAACCUUAAAAUUGCAGUUGAAACUGGAUUUCUUGAGUAUACUGAAGGUUGGUGGAAUUCGUGGUGUAGCGGUGAAAUGCUUAGAUAUCACGAAGAACUCCUAUUGCGAAGGCAACUGACUGUAGUAUAACUGACGCUGAAUCACGAAAGCGUGGGUAUCAAACAGG